GAUAAGUAAUGUGAAUUGCAGAAUUCAGUGAAUCAUCGAAUCUUUGAACGCACCUUGCGCUCCUUGGUAUUCCGAGGAGCAUGCCUGUUUGAGUGUCUUGAAGUCA
rnacentral:rRNA from 2 species